AUUGAACGCUGGCGGCAUGCCUUACACAUGCAAGUCGAACGGCAGCACGGGAGCAAUCCUGGUGGCGAGUGGCGAACGGGUGAGUAAUAUAUCGGAACGUGCCCGGUCGUGGGGGAUAACGUAGCGAAAGCUACGCUAAUACCGCAUACGAUCUACGGAUGAAAGCGGGGGAUCGCAAGACCUCGCGCGAUUGGAGCGGCCGAUAUCAGAUUAGGUAGUUGGUGAGGUAAAAGGCUCACCAAGCCGACGAUCUGUAGCUGGUCUGAGAGGACGACCAGCCACACUGGGACUGAGACACGGCCCAGACUCCUACGGGAGGCAGCAGUGGGGGAAUUUUUGGGACAAUGGGCGCAAGCCUGAUCCAGCAAAUGCCGCGUGCAGGAUGAAGGCCUCGGUUGGUAAAGGACUACUUUUACUUCGGGUACGACGUAAUUAGAC
rnacentral:rRNA from 1 species